rnacentral:lncRNA from 1 species
GUGGAGGAGGAAAAAAGGCACACGCCCUAUCUCUCUCUUGCUUGGAUAAGGAUGAGUGGCUGUCAAGUGUUGGCACCCACUUCACUUUCCUAUUUGGGAGAAAUGAUAUUUCCUUUUAGAUGAAUUUUUCUUGAGAAGAAAAUCUGAAUAAAAAGAAUGUGUUGUUAUGAGAUAACAACUAGUCAUUUUAUCCCUUUUUUUUGAAUUUUGAAUUCAAAUCAAGGG